GAUUCUCCUGCCUCAGGCUCCCGAGUAGCUGGGAUUACAGAUGAUGAUUAUUCCCCACCUUCUAAGAGACAAAGACCAACGAGCCACCACAGCCACCAGUCCCAGAACCCGCCAAUGCUGGGGAACGGAAAAUGAGGGAGUUCAACUCUGAGAAAUGGAAUCAUCGUAUCGCUGAUCUACGUAAACAAACUGAAGAAUUGUCUGAAAGAAAAUAUGACAUGAACUUAUGAAUUCAACAGGUGAAGAUUUACAACUUGAUAAAUCAACUUUGUGAGCUCGAGCUGUAAAAGCCAAAGGUCUGGUGAUGAUCCCAUACCCUUUUUUCCAGUCUCAUGUUGAAGAUUUUUAUGUAGAAGGCCUUCCCAAAGGAAUUUUUUUUUUUUUUUUUUUUUGAGAUGGAGUUUUCACUCUUAUCGCCCAGGCUGGGGUGCAAUGGC
rnacentral:lncRNA from 1 species